rnacentral:tRNA from 1 species
UCCCAUAUAGUCCAGUGGUUAGGAUUUGGCGCUUUCACCGCCAUGGCCCGGGUUCAAUUCCUGGUGUGGGAA